AGCUGAUCCAGCAAUGCCGCGUGUGUGAAGAAGGCCUUCGGGUUGUAAAGCACUUUUGUCCGGAAAGAAAUCCUUGGCUCUAAUACAGUCGGGGGAUGACGGUACCGGAAGAAUAAGCACCGGCUAACUACGUGCCAGCAGCCGCGGUAAUACGUAGGGUGCGAGCGUUAAUCGGAAUUACUGGGCGUAAAGCGUGCGCAGGCGGUUUGCUAAGACCGAUGUGAAAUCCCCGGGCUCAACCUGGGAACUGCAUUGGUGACUGGCAGGCUAGAGUAUGGCAGAGGGGGGUAGAAUUCCACGUGUAGCAGUGAAAUGCGUAGAGAUGUGGAGGAAUACCGAUGGCGAAGGCAGCCCCCUGGGCCAAUACUGACGCUCAUGCACGAAAGCGUGGGGAGCAAACAGGAUUAGAUACCCCGUGUAGUCAA
rnacentral:rRNA from 1 species